rnacentral:rRNA from 1 species
UACGAAGGGGGCUAGCGUUGCUCGGAAUGACUGGGCGUAAAGGGCGCGUAGGCGGAUGGCACAGUCAGAUGUGAAAUUCCCGGGCUUAACCUGGGGGCUGCAUUUGAUACGUGUUGUCUUGAGUUCGGAAGAGGGUCGUGGAAUUCCCAGUGUAGAGGUGAAAUUCGUAGAUAUUGGGAAGAACACCGGUGGCGAAGGCGGCGACCUGGUCCGACACUGACGCUGAGGCGCGAAAGUGUGGGGAGCAAACAGG